UUAUACAGCGAAACUGCGAAUGGCUCAUUAUAUAAGUUAUCGUUUAUUUGAUAGUACCUUACUACUUGGAUAACCGUGGUAAUUCUAGAGCUAAUACAUGCUAAAAAUCCCGACUUCGGAAGGGAUGUAUUUAUUAGAUUAAAAACCAAUGCCCUCUGGGCUCUCUGGUGAUUCAUGAUAACUUCUCGAAUCGCAUGGCCUUGCGCCGGCGAUGGUUCAUUCAAAUUUCUUCCCUAUCAACUUUCGAUGUUUGGGUAGUGGCCAAACAUGGUUGCAACGGGUAACGGAGGGUUAGGGCUCGACCCCGGAGAAGGAGCCUGAGAAACGGCUACUACAUCCAAGGAAGGCAGCAGGCGCGCAAAUUACCCAAUCCCGAUUCGGGGAGGUAGUGACAAUAAAUACUGAUACAGGGCUCUUUUGGGUCUUGUAAUUGGAAUGAGUACAAUUUAAAUCCCUUAACGAGGAACAAUUGGAGGGCAAGUCUGGUGCCAGCAGCCGCGGUAAUUCCAGCUCCAAUAGCGUAUAUUAAAGUUGUUGUGGUUAAAAAGCUCGUAGUUGAACCUUGGGCCUGGUUGGCCGGUCCGCCUCACCGCGUGUACUGGUCCGGCCGGGCCUUUCCCUCUGUGGAACCCCAUGCCCUUCACUGGGUGUGGCGGGGAAACAGGACUUUUACUUUGAAAAAAUUAGAGUGCUCCAGGCAGGCCUAUGCUCGAAUACAUUAGCAUGGAAUAAUAAAAUAGGACGUGCGGUUCUAUUUUGUUGGUUUCUAGGACCGCCGUAAUGAUUAAUAGGGACAGUCGGGGGCAUCAGUAUUCAAUUGUCAGAGGUGAAAUUCUUGGAUUUAUUGAAGACUAACUACUGCGAAAGCAUUUGCCAAGGAUGUUUUCAUUAAUCAGGAACGAAAGUUAGGGGAUCGAAGACGAUCAGAUACCGUCGUAGUCUUAACCAUAAACUAUGCCGACUAGGGAUCGGACGAUGUUAUUUUUUGACUCGUUCGGCACCUUACGAGAAAUCAAAGUGCUUGGGCUCCA
rnacentral:rRNA from 2 species